AUUGAACGCUGGCGGCAGGCCUAACACAUGCAAGUCGAGCGAGCGGCGGACGGGUGAGUAAUGUAUGGGGACUGCCCGAUAGAGGGGGAUAACUACUGGAAACGGUAGCUAAUACCACAUACUAUCGGAUAACCCAUAUGGGAUUAGCUAGUAGGUGGGGUAAUGGCUCACCUAGGCGACGAUCCCUAGCUGGGCUGAGAGGAUGAGCAGCCAAAUGGGGACUUAGAAAAGGCCCAGAUUCCUAAGGAGGAAGGCGGGGGGAAUAUUGGAAAAUGGGGGCAAGCCUUAUGCAGCCAGGCCGCGUGGAUGAAGAAGGCCCCAGGGUUGUAAAGUACGUUGAGGCGGGAGGCGUUACCGACAGAAGAAGCACCGGCUAACUCCGUGCCAGCAGCCGCGGUAAUAC
rnacentral:rRNA from 1 species